rnacentral:rRNA from 1 species
GACGAACGCUGGCGGCGUGCUUAACACAUGCAAGUCGAACGAAGUGGCGAACGGGUGAGUAACGCGUAAUUAACCUGCCCUUCAGAGGGGGACACCAGUUGGAAACGAAUGCUAAUACCGCAUACUGAAUGAGGUGAUUGCGUCUGAUUAGCUAGUUGGAGGGGUAACGGCCCACCAAGGCGAUGAUCAGUAGGCGGGCGGAGAGGAAGAGCGGCCACAUUGGGACUGGGACAAGGGCCAGACUCCUACGGGAGGGAGCAGGGGGGAAUCUUCCGAAAUGGACGAAAGUCUGACGGAGCAACGCCGCGUGAGAGAUGACGGCCGUCGGGUUGGAAAGCUCUGUUAAUCGGGACGCGGUACCGAAAGAGAAAGCAACGGCUAACUACGUGCCAGCAGCCGCGGUAAUAC